rnacentral:rRNA from 1 species
AGAUUGAACGCUGGCGGCGUGCCUAACACAUGCAAGUCGAGCGGUAACAGGUGUAGCAAUACAUGCUGACGAGCGGCGAACGGGUGAGUAAUGCUUUGGAAUCUUCCCAGUAGUGGGGAAUAACCAGUCGAAAGAUUGGCUAAUACCGCAUACGUCUGUAAAGGGAAAGCGGGGGCUCGUAAGACCUCGCGCUAUUGGAUGAGCCAAAGUCGGAUUAGCUAGUUGGUGGGGUAAUGGCCUACCAAGGCGACAAUCCGUAGCUGGUCUGAGAGGACGACCAGCCACACCGGAACUGAGACACGGUCCGGACUCCUACGGGAGGCAGCAGUGGGGAAUAUUGGACAAUGGGGGAAACCCUGAUCCAGCGACGCCGCGUGUGUGAGAAGGCCUGCGGUUGUAAAGCACUUUAGUGGGACAAAAGCUACGGACUAAUAUUCUGUGGUCUUGAUUUAACCCAACGUAAAAGCACCGGCUAACUCUGUGCCAGCAGCCGC